GCAUCUGGGAUUCUGCCCCACCGGGGGAAGGCAGAAGGCCCAAGGGCGGUAAGGCGCUUUCGGCGUUGAGGAAGGUAAAUUCGUUUAUACCUCAUAGAAAUGACGGUACCUUCAGAAGAAGCACCGGCUAACUUCGUGCCCGCAGCCGCGGUAAUACAGAGGGUGCCAGCGUUAUUUGGAAUUACUGGGCGUAAAGCGCGGGUAGGCGGAUGAUUAAGUCAGUUGUGAAAGCCCUGGGCUCAACCUAGGAACUGCAUUUGAUACUGGUCAUCUAGAGUUUAAGAGAGGGAAGUGGAAUUCCAGGUGUAGCAGUGAAAUGCGUAGAUAUUCGGAGGAACAUCAGUGGCGAAGGCGACUUCCUGGCUUAAAACUGACGGUGAGGUGCGAAAGCGUGGGUAGCGAACGGGAUUAGAUACCCCCGUAGUUCCCCCCCUAAACGAUGUCACAUUGGUGUUGGUCUUAUUAAAUAAGAUUAGUAGCGCAGCUAAC
rnacentral:rRNA from 1 species